rnacentral:rRNA from 1 species
UACGUAGGGGGCAAGCGUUGUCCGGAAUUAUUGGGCGUAAAGAGCUCGUAGGCGGUGUGUCACGUCGGCCGUGAAAACCUGCAGCUUAACUGUGGGCGUGCGGUCGAUACGGGCAUCACUGGAGUUCGGCAGGGGAGACUGGAAUUCCUGGUGUAGCGGUGAAAUGCGCAGAUAUCAGGAGGAACACCGGUGGGCGGAAGGCGGGUCUCUGGGCCGAUACUGACGCUGGAGGAGCGAAAGCGUUGGGGAGC